UACGUAGGGUGCAAGCGUUGUCCGGAAUUAUUGGGCGUAAAGAGCUCGUAGGCGGUCUGUCACGUCGGCUGUGAAAUCCCGAGGCUCAACCUCGGGUCUGCAGUCGAUACGGGCAAACUAGAGUAUUGCAGGGGAGACUGGAAUUCCUGGUGUAGCGGUGAAAUGCGCAGAUAUCAGGAGGAACACCGGUGGCGAAGGCAGCUCACUACACGAAUAAUGACACUGAGGCACGAAAGCGUGGGGAUCAAACAGG
rnacentral:rRNA from 1 species